CCUACGGGCGGCAGCAGUGGGGAAUAUUGGACAAGGGGGGGAACCCUGAUCCAGCCAUGCCGCGUGUGUGAAGAAGGCCCUCGGGUUGUAAAGCACUUUCAGUGAGGAAGAACGCCUGGUGGUUAAUACCCAUCAGGAAAGACAUCACUCACAGAAGAAGCACCGGCUAACUCCGUGCCAGCAGCCGCGGUAAUACGGAGGGUGCGAGCGUUAAUCGGAAUUACUGGGCGUAAAGCGCGCGUAGGUGGCUUGAUAAGCCGGUUGUGAAAGCCCCGGGCUCAACCUGGGAACGGCAUCCGGAACUGUCAAGCUAGAGUGCAGGAGAGGAAGGUAGAAUUCCCGGUGUAGCGGUGAAAUGCGUAGAGAUCGGGAGGAAUACCAGUGGCGAAGGCGGCCUUCUGGACUGACACUGCCACUGAGGUGCGAAAGCGUGGGUAGCAAACAGGAUUAGAUACCCCGGUAGUC
rnacentral:rRNA from 1 species